rnacentral:rRNA from 1 species
GUAGGUGGCAAGCGUUGUCCGGAAUUAUUGGGCGUAAAGCGCGCGCAGGCGGUUCUUUAAGUCUGAUGUGAAAGCCCACGGCUCAACCGUGGAGGGUCAUUGGAAACUGGAGAACUUGAGUACAGAAGAGGAAAGCGGAAUUCCACGUGUAGCGGUGAAAUGCGUAGAGAUGUGGAGGAACACCAGUGGCGAAGGCGGCUUUCUGGUCUGUAACUGACGCUGAGGCGCGAAAGCGUGGGGGAGCAAACAGGAUUAGAUACCCUGGUAGUCCACGCCGUAAACGAUGAGUGCUAAGUGUUAGGGGGUUUCGCCCCUUAGUGCUGCAGCUAACGCAUUAAGCAUUCCGCCUGGGAGUACGGCCGCAAGGCUG